UAAAGGGCAUAGGUCAGUGGUAGAGCAUCUUCCUUGCAUGCAAAAGGGCCCAGGUUCAAUCUCUGGUAAUCUCUUUUUUUAA